rnacentral:rRNA from 1 species
GGCCGUUGUCGAAGGCCCCGAGGCGAAACGAGAGUGAAGGCCGGUCCGGUCCGGCCGAGGCGGGAUCCGGCCGCUCCGCGGCCGGCGCACCGCCGCCCUGCCACCAGCCCGCCGCGGCUGUGGCGGCGGAAGAGCGGGCACGCUAGGAUAUGCCCGAGCAGGACGAAGCCAGAGGAAACUCUGGUGGAGGUCCGCAGCGAUUCUGACGUGCAAAUCGAUCGUCCGACUCGGGUAUAGGGGCGAAAGACUAAUCGAACCGUCUA